rnacentral:lncRNA from 13 species
CACAAAGUUUCCAGGGUGCUUUUCAAAAACAAGAGCCUGGAGGUCUUAUUUUCCUGUUAAAUGCUGAUUAUUGGCUUUUAAUGCUUUCCACAGUAAUUAAAGCUGUUAGUGAGCUAACAGUGAAGGUUCUUCAUUGACUGGAAUGGUUGUUGCUCAGAAACAUUCUGGAAGAUGACUAGUUGAAGAAAUGGUCCCCAGAUCUCCUAAGCAAGUAUCUCUGACAUAACUAAGCAGCAAGGUCAUAAAUCAACUUUAUCUCACAUAGUCACCAUGCUUAUCAAAGUUCUGAAGCUCUUCCUGCAAUAUCUACUCACUACUUCUCCAGUGAAAUUAAAAAAAAACAACAACAACAACUUAUUUUCAUCUACAAG